AUGGCCAAAUCCCGAUGAAACACCGGUUCACGCCCGAUCACCAAAGUUAAGCAACGUCGAGGCUGGUUAGUAAAUUGAUGUACAACUGUUUGGGAAUACCAGGUGCUGUAA